rnacentral:rRNA from 1 species
GAUGAGCGCUGGCGGCGUGCCUAAUACAUGCAAGUCGAACGAGGUGCUUUUGUAGCAAUACGAGGGUAUCCUAGUGGCGAACGGGUGAGUAACGCGUUGGUGACCUGCCCCGAAGUGUGGGAUAACAGUCCGAAAGGAUCGCUAAUACCGCAUGUGGCCAUCGGGUUUAGAAACCGAUGUCUAAAGCAGCAAUGCGCUUUGGGAGGGACCUGCGUCCCAUCAGCUAGUUGGUGAGGUAACGGCUCACCAAGGCGACGACGGGUAGGAGGCCUGAGAGGGUGGCCCCCCACAAUGGAACUGAAACACGGUCCAUACACCUACGGGUGGCAGCAGUAGGGAAUAUUGCACAAUGGGCGAAAGCCUGAUGCAGCAACGCCGCGUGAGCGAAGAAGGCCUUCGGGUCGUAAAGCUCUUUUCUGGGAGAUGAGAAAGGACAGUAUCCCAGGAAUAAGUCUCGGCUAACUACGUGCCAGCCGCCGCCGUAACAC